AACGAACGCUGGCGGCAUGCCUAACACAUGCAAGUCGAACGAGACCUUCGGGUCUAGUGGCGCACGGAUGCGUAACGCGUGGGAACCUGCCCUUAGGUUCGGAAUAACUCUCCGAAAGGGGUGCUAAUACCGGAUAAUGUCUUCGGACCAAAGAUUUAUCGCCUUUGGAUGGGCCCGCGUUGGAUUAGCUAGUUGGUAGGGUAAAAGCCUACCAAGGCGACGAUCCAUAGCUGGUCUGAGAGGAUGAUCAGCCACACUGGGACUGAGACACGGCCCAGACUCCUACGGGAGGCAGCAGUGGGGAAUAUUGGACAAUGGGCGAAAGCCUGAUCCAGCAAUGCCGCGUGAGUGAUGAAGGCCUUAGGGUUGUAAAGCUCUUUUACCCGGGAUGAUAAUGACAGUACCGGGAGAAUAAGCUCCGGCUAACUCCGUG
rnacentral:rRNA from 1 species